rnacentral:lncRNA from 1 species
UGGGUGUGUGUGGUCGAUCGACCAGGAGCAGGAGAAAGGGGGUGAAACCCUAACUCAACAAAAUCUUCCAAUUUGAGGAUCAAUUCAAGACCAAAUCGAAGCAUAAACGCGUAUAAAUGAUCACCUAGUUAUGGGGAUCAUGAGGUAUGUCAUAAAACCUAGAUUGGUUAAAGUUGAAUUUUGAGACAAGUAGGUUACUAGCAAAUAGAUUGUUGGAUUAUGAUCCAAAAAUUGAACUUGAAUGUUUAUGUAUGUUUAAUUUCGUUAGUUAUGAUGAAAUUAUGAGAAACUUGGUGUAAUAUUACUUGUAAGAGAUUAACAAGUAAACUAGGAAGUGGGUUUGACUAAAUAGUGAAGAGGAUGAUAUAUUGGUGUUUAAAAAUCAUCAUAAUUCAUAGUUGAAGCGAGAUAUUUGAACAAAUUAUAAGUUCAGAUGAAAGCUUAUGCAUGACUUGAAAUGGGUUAUAGUAUGUUAUGAUAAAAAUUUGGUAAUUUUGAUUCAUGUAAAUAGUUGUAUGAAAUUGUGUCAUAUACUUGUUCAUAUGAAGAACUUGAUUCUAUUAGGCGUUCGGAAUGAAUGCUAAAUAGUAUUAUGAAAUGGGUCUCACUAAUAGUAGGGAACCCUUAGUUCUUUUGGAAAUGAAUAAAUAAGUUAGAUUUAGUAAUCACUUGAACUAGUUGAAGUAUUGGAAAUAUAAGGAACCGGGAUAAAAGAUUUGUUAAACGGUGGCUUUAAAGAACGCCUACCGGGUGAUUUGAGAAAUGCCAAAACUAGUUGAUAAACUGGAAUGUGCAUUUUAUAUACUAAUAGGCAAUUGACUUUUUAAAAGUCAAACCGACCAUUAAUAAGAUCGAAUGAUAAUUUUGAUAGAAAAUACGUAAGAUGGAAUAGUCAUGAUUGACAAUGACUAAACUAACUAUCUUACGAAAUAUGAUGAUAGUUUGACGCCUAACAAACUAGGUGGAAGCUUGUGGAUGGAGCGGGUCAAACGAAGCAAGUACGAAAAGAAAAGCAUAACCGGAUGCAAGUCGUAUGUUCACAGGAGUGAACCGGAGGUGGAUAAGUGCGUCGCUAUAAAGUAGUGGCAAAUAAAAGCAAGGUAUAAAUCGGGUCUAUACGUUGACCCGAGCCAGGUAUCCUUGGAUGAGGGAUGAUGGUCAAGCUCUACGAAGAACCGAACACGAUCAAGAUAAAAGCUUCCGCAUGUUGUUUCGUCGUCAUUUUUAAACGACGAAACCAUUCAUAUUAAGUUGUAUUACCUUUAAAUUGUAAAAUUUUUAAUAAACUCGUAUUUCUUAAUGUAUAUGUACUCAUAAUUACAUGUUUAUUUCCGUAAGUUAUACGGAAAUCGUUAAAUAAUAAUAAGGGUCUUACAGU